AUAGAGAUGAUGUUGUCUCAGAGAGAGUAGAAAAUGGGUCUCAUAAUUGUUCAAGAAAUUGUUAAAGAUAUAAGAAUGAAACAGGACCAGACUAUCUCAAAAAUCUAAGAUCCUUCUAAUUCACAACAACAUAAAGUCUUAUCACAAAAUAGACAAAAAAAAAAUAAAUGGAAUUAAACAUAAUAGGACAUAAAAGACAAAACUAAGCAAAUAGAAACAAAAUAGAAUAGAAUUGAAUAAAAAGAUACAAAACCAAAUUUUACUAAGAAAAAAGAUCCAAAGCCAUAUUUGAUUGAAUGCCUCAAAAGGCCUUGGCUAGUCCUAUUUAUACCUUGUCCUAUCACCUUGGACUUUCUAAAAUGUUCCUAGGUAAUGGACCUCACCUAAAUAACUAUCCUAAGCCUAAUCUAAAAGGUUUUAUUGUAGAUCCUACCUAAAUAAU
rnacentral:lncRNA from 1 species